rnacentral:rRNA from 1 species
UCCUACGGGGGGCAGCAGUAGGGAAUCUUGCGCAAUGGGCGAAAGCCUGACGCAGCCAUGCCGCGUGAAUGAUGAAGGUCUUAGGAUUGUAAAAUUCUUUCACCGGGGAAGAUAAUGACGGUACCCGGAGAAGAAGCCCCGGCUAACUUCGUGCCAGCAGCCGCGGUAAUACGAAGGGGGCUAGCGUUGCUCGGAAUUACUGGGCGUAAAGGGCGCGUAGGCGGAUAUUUAAGUCGGGGGUGAAAGCCCGGGGCUCAACCUCGGAAUUGCCUUCGAUACUGGAUAUCUUGAGUUCGGGAGAGGUGAGUGGAAUGCCGAGUGUAGAGGUGAAAUUCGUAGAUAUUCGGCGGAACACCAGUGGCGAAGGCGACUCACUGGCCCGAUACUGACGCUGAGGCGCGAAAGCGUGGGGAGCAAACAGGAUUAGAUACCCCCGUAGUCCC